UCCGGAAUGGUGUAUCGGUAACAUUUCUGCCUCUCAAAAUAAGCAAUUAUAAAGGUCGCAGGAGCGCGGGGUUCGAUUCCCCGUUCCGGAA